GCCAGUGUGGAAUAGUGGUUUGAGUGUUAGACUACGACUCUGGAAACCAGGGUUCAAUUCCCAGCUCAUCCA
rnacentral:tRNA from 1 species